rnacentral:rRNA from 1 species
GUGGGGAAUCUUGCACAAUGGAGGAAACUCUGAUGCAGCGAUGCCGCGUGAGUGAAGAAGGCCUUUGGGUUGUAAAGCUCUUUUGUAGGGGAAGAUAAUGACUGUACCCUAAGAAUAAGGUCCGGCUAACUUCGUGCCAGCAGCCGCGGUAAUACGAAGGGACCUAGCGUAGUUCGGAAUUACUGGGCGUAAAGCGCGCGUAGGCCGUUGAGUUAGUUAAUUGUGAAAUCCCAAAGCUUAACUUUGGAACUGCAAUUAAAACUGCUCGACUAGAGUUUGAUAGAGGAAAGCGGAAUACAUAGUGUAGAGGUGAAAUUCGUAGAUAUUAUGUAGAACACCAGUUGCGAAGGCGGCUUUCUGGAUCAACACUGACGCUGAGGCGCGAAAGUAUGGGUAGCAAAGAGGAUUAGAUACCCCGGUAGUCCGGUC